GACGAACGCUGGCGGCGUGCCUAAUACAUGCAAGUAGAACGCACAGUUUAUACCGUAGCUUGCUACACCAUAGACUGUGAGUUGCGAACGGGUGAGUAACGCGUAGGUAACCUGCCUGGUAGCGGGGGAUAACUAUUGGAAACGAUAGCUAAUACCGCAUAAUAUUAAUUAUUGCAUGAUAAUUAAUUGAAAGGUGCAAUUGCACCACUACCAGAUGGACCUGCUUUGUAUUAGCUAGUAGGUGAGGUAACGGCUCACCUAGGCGACGAUACAUAGCCGACCUGCGAGGGUGAUCGGCCACACUGGGACUGAGACACGGCCCAGACUCCUUCGGGAGGCAGCAGUAGGGAAUCUUCGGCAAUGGACGAAAGUCUGACCGAGCAACGCCGCGUGAGUGAAGAAGGUUUUCGGAUCGUAAAGCUCUGUUGUAAGAGAAGAACGGGUGUGAGAGUGGAAAGUUCACACUGUGACGGUAUCUUACCAGAAAGGGACGGCUAACUACGUG
rnacentral:rRNA from 1 species